ensembl:lncRNA
GAUCUAUAAACUAAUGUUUAAGCAUUCAUUAAUUAAAUAUAAACGUUUUUGAAGUAUAGAGUACUAUUAUGUAAUAGUGGCAACCAUUAAUUUUAUUACAAUAUUUUCAGAUGUUUUAAUUGUUGGUUUUGUAUGUUUAUUUAUUUGUUGUUUGAGAGCUCUAGAUGCUGCCGGCUAAAUCUGCCUAGAUUUGAAUAUGUACAGAUAGUAACACUGUGGCAAUUGCUGUUGCCUCUGUGAAGCUCAUAUUAACUUCAUAAGGGGACUGAUUUCAACUUUUAGUUGUAAUGAUAUUGGCACUCACUUGAAAAAGCAAUUGCUCAUUUUCAAUAUUAGUUUAUUGUACUUGCUUUUACUUUACAAUUAUUGAAUUUAUACUGAAUACCUAAACACUGGUUAACAGUCUUUUUAUUGGCAUGUUUUAGGUUUCUCAGUGAAUGGUCACUGUUUUUUUUCAGUUAUAAGCAUGUUGAAUGACUUAAAUAAAAUUUUGCAUACUUUUUAUAAAAAUUUCAACUCUACAUUGAUACUAAUACACAUUUUAAAUACUACUUCAUAAGGAGCAAAAUAUCUGUUCCUUUCCAGAUCUUUGCUAAUGUGUGUUUUACUAGGCAAGAAGAGUACUUAGAUGUUUCUGACAUAGCACAUCUGGAGUGGGUACACAUGUGUUGCUAUAGGAUGUUUACUCAUUUUAGGCAAUGAGACUGCUGGAUAGGUAGAAAAUUGGAACUAGGGGAUAAAUUAUAACUGCUGAAAUCAACUUAAGCAUUAAUGGACUAGGUGGUUGACUGUCUUAUGAUCUCUCUUUUUCUCUACUUCAUUCUUAGUCAUAUGUUCUCAAUUUAAUGCAUAUAAUCAAUAGUUAAAAUUCUUAAAAUUAAGCAUUAUUGUUUUCUUCUUUCAACAAAUAAUAGGUAUUAUGACCAAAGGAGACACAAUUUUUUUUCACCCAAAAUUUUACUAUGAACUAAAAAUGAACUCUUUUUAAUGAUGUUUGAUAUGUUAUAUAAGGAAUUCUGAAACAUUUCCUUUGUCAAAGUGAUGCUGGAUUUGGGAUAGCUGUCAGCAGCAAGGAGUAGUUAAAAGUGGUCUGACACUCAGGUUAGGAAAUGCAGCUCUAGAUAACAGUGUCUGACUGGACGUUGGAUUCUCUAAUGAAGUGUAAGCUGUGAGGAGAAGAGAGAGAAGAUAGGCACGUGGGGCGAAGACAGAAAGGUAGAUGUAGUUGUGAUAAUCAGGAUUUAGUCCAGCGCAUCUUCCUCACAGGACAAAGAGGCUGGAAGAUGAGGGCAGUCGUGAUGGAGUGUAUGUGUAGGUGACAACAUAUUGGGAUGCUGAGAAGACAGGGCUAAGCAAAAUGACCGGGAGUCUUUGUUGUUUGACGGCUGUAGUGGCUCAGCUUUCUGCAUUUAUAUUGAGGUUUUUGGGUAGAGUUGAGCGGCUCUUGUAAUUAAUGUUUAUCAGAUACAUACAUAUCAGAUACAGAUCAUUUGGAUUACAUGAGAAUUCUAUUUGCUUGUCAUGACAGCCCUUUUUGAGCUUAAGGCAUAGCAGGUUUAUGUUCAUAUCUUACAGACAGAGUCUAUGUUGGUUUGUUCAAAUGAUAAAUAUGUUUACAUGGGCAGAUGUUGUCAGGUGUGUGAGAUGCAUGUCCAUAUGGACAUAUGUGCGGAAUGGUUACCUCUAGCUCCUAAAUUUGUCUUUUUCCUUUUAAGUUUUGCUUUAUCUCCAUCCCCAUUCCACUCAAUAUUUUCUGGGUAGAGAAUGAAUACUUGGCUUUAUCAGUUUAUGUGAUUUUUAUCUCCUUUUGUUGCUUUGUCCUCUGAGUUUGAGUUUACCUUAAGAAUUGAGGAUCAAAUGUGAAUUUUAGUUCUCACAUCCAAGAGGUUUUUCUAUUUCUUCCAUGUCCAUUUGUCUAUAUGCUUGAUGAUCCCUGAUAGGCUAGAGAGAGAGAGAGAGAGAAGCUAAUUGGUGUUAGCAGCAAUAUUUUUACAUGUUUUAUAAGCAGAGUGCAGUAAGGUAUAUAAAUGUAGAUAUGAUCCAGACACGCGCAAGCUCACGACUGUCACUGCUCAUGCAUAGGCGCUCAGAAGUAAUUAAUGUUAAUAAGAUUUUAAUGUGCUUGUGAGAUCAUAAUGAGGAGAAAUGAAUGCUCUGAUUAGGAAAAGGUAACUGUGUGUGUGUGUUUUGGCUUAGAACAAGAUUUCAAUUUUUAUAAACCGCAAUUUUAGAACUUGUUUGUGAUUGCAUCAAUUGGUUUUUAUUUUCAAAUUAGAGGUCUGUUUAGCCAUUUGAAUGAUUAACCAAAUAAAUGGGUGAAACCCUGAUCAUAAGGAAUAGUGCAGGUUUUCAUUUGUAAGGCCGUGUCACUGUGUAGUAAGGCUGUGUUGUCUUUUGCCACUGUACCAGUUUAACAUCUCUUAAAACCCAAACCAAAACCAAACCACACAACCUUUUCCAGAAGCCACUUGUGAGGACGGUACUUAGUUUUGUAGACUGGUACCUCUCGAUCCAAUGAAUGACAUCUAUAGGAUCUAUAGGACCCAGAACUACAGAUAUCCUCCUGACACUCAGUGGUGGUGUAAUUGGUUUCAGUCAUAUGUAUGAUGCUUUUCAAAGUGUUUAUUUAGAAAGAUACUAAACACCCAGUAUUUUUCAUCCUAAACAUAAUCCUUAUAAAUUUUAGAGGCUUAUUAUCUUUUAUGUAAAGUAUGGUUCAAGGUAAGUAAAGAUGCUAUCUCAAAGUAUACUCCAAUACCACACAGCCAACAGCCAGGUGAGAGACUGGCUUAAACCCAGAUGUCUUAAACACUAGUGUAUUUCUCCACAAUUAAUACAUCUGCAUUAUUACUACCUUUAAUGAUAGGCUAAUAUAAGUGCAUUUAAGGAGCUUUGCCCUAUGAUCCUUAGAAAUCACGUAUAUAUUUUAAUAUGAAUUAUAGACAGGACCAUUAAAAUAUUUAAACAUAACUUUGAAAUUUAGGAAGAAGUUUUGGCUCUAAAUUGAAAUAUAAGGUACUGUAGUUGAUUUCCAACUAGGUUACAGACACAGUGAAGGCUCUGAGGUUUCUUUUUAUAUUAUAAUAUUUUAGCUUGAGUUUAAAAAACAAUAGGAAUAGCAAGUUUUAAAAUUGCUUCUACCAACAAAUGUGAGAUCUCUGUGCUUUUCCAACAGGAAAGGUUUACUUUCUGUUGAAUUCUGAGAAUGGUGAUUAUCUCACAAAACAAAGCAUUUUCUGUUAAUAUUGAUUAGUUGAUUUUUUGGGUCUUAUCACAGAGACGUACAAUUAGGAAUAGUUUCCCUAUUCUCAUUAUAUAAAGACUUAGUUCUUGUUUUAUUUUGUUUUGUUUUCUAGUACUUGCAUGGUAUCUAUUGUAAAAUUUCUUAUUGGAUCAGGUACAUUUCCAGGUUUUCUGUCCCGAGUUUGUUGUGUGCUGUUUUCUCAUAAUUGUAGAUAAUUAUGGCUUUAUAAUACGUUUUAAUAUUUAAGGUGUUCAUUCCCUUCUCCAAUCUACUCAUUACUCUCCUUGUUCAGAGUUCUCUUGCUCAGUUGUUAUUCCAAAUAAACACCAUACUGAUCCAGAAGAACUUGUAGGAAAAAGAAAUCUUGUGAAAAUUUUCAUGUGCUUUUAGAUGCCUCUGACUUGACAUAGUCACAAUGGUUAUCUGUAUGGAGAUAAGGUCUCUUAAACAGAAGCUGAGUGUUCUUUCCAUAUAUUUAAUAACUUUUGUCUUUAUAAAUAUUUUAUGGUUUUCCUCAUAUAGAUUUAAACAUUUGUUAUUACGUUUCUUAUAUAGUCUUCUGUUGAGUCCUGUUUACUUUGCUUUUAUAUACUUAACAUGCUCACAUGUGUCUUCUCUCCCAACAUCUUUUCUACUGGCUGUCUGUUUCCACAUAGAGAGACUCCUAGUUACAUGGUAACAUUAUGGCUUCCUACUUUACAAAAUUAUUUUAUUUGUUUGUGAUGGCCCAGAGUAGAUUCCAGACUAUUUAUAGUAAGUAACAUUGGGAAACUAUGGACAGGUUAUUUUGAAGGUCUAUUUGAGUUACUGUAACAGAUUACCAUCUAUUAUAGAGUCACUUACAAGUAACAAAAAUUUGUUUGUUAAAAUUUUGGAGGCUGAAAGUCUAAGACUGUAGCUAGCAUGGGCAGGUUCCAAAGGGGGCCCUCUUCCAUUUUAGAGACUGCUGAAUUUUCUUGUCUGCUCUCAUGCCAGAAGUGAACAAAUUAGCUAUUUGGGGUUUCUUUUGUAAGGCACAGUUCCCACUCAUGAUGACACUAACACCAUGAUCUCGGCUAAUCCUAAUUAUGUCCUAAAGCUCUAUCUCCUUGUGUUAUCACACAGUAGUCUAGAGGGUCAGCCUCUGAAUUCCUAGGCCAGAAACAUGAAGAUUUACUUCAUUAACACUGACACGCACCUCACAUUUGCUAACUAGGUGCUAUAGAGAAUCAAUUUAUCAGUUAUCAAUUGUACAAAUAGAAAUGAUUGCCUGGAACCUUUACUAAUACUUUUUGGUGAUGCUUAUGAGUUCUCAGUGGUUAAGUAUCGAACACAUGAAUUCAUGAUAGUAUUCAUGAAAGAAAAAUAGUACUUCCUAGCUAACUGUUAUACAAGACUUCUUGAUUAACCUGAUGAAAAACCACCAGUGAUAUUUUAGUAGUUCAAUGGCUUUUAAUCUUCUACUCUAAUUUACUAAAAUGAAUAUUGUCUUAUAAAUCUUUUGAAUUCAUUUGAUAUAACUUAUCAUUAAAAAAGAAUAUAUUAAGCUUUCAAGGUUUAUAUAUAUUCCUAUAUCUUCGUUGUGGAAAGAGUAAGUCUGAUAAUGCUUCAUUAGUUAUUUUUAUUUUAAUUAUUUUAUUAUUACCUUGUCCAUUCUUAAUUUGCUGUGCUCACAGAUAUAUACCACUCAUAUAUAUUCUUAUUAAUAGUGUUGCUGUAUGCUUUGAAUGAAUAUGUGAAAUAUCCUCUGUGUGUGUGUGUGUGUGUGUGUGUGUGUGUGUGUGUGUAGUGCAUGCAAGUAUGUUUGCAGAUAUGUGUAUAUAUAUUUACAUGUAUGUGUAAGGGUGAAAUCCAGGUUGAAAACUGUAUAUCUUUCCUCACUCGCUCUCCAUUUUUUAUCCCUUGAGAGAGGGUUUCCUCACUGAACCUGAAGCUCAUAUGUUCAGCUGAUUGCAUAAUGAACUUGAGGGAUCCUCCUGUCUCUGUGUUCUUCUCUGCCAAGGCUGGGAUUAAGCCUCAUCAGAUUUUUUAUCUUGUGUUUUCGGACAAGAACUGAGAUCUUUGUGCUUUCACAGGAAGCAUUUGCCUUCCUGAUCCGUAUCCCUAGCACUGAAACCUUCUAAUUAGUACUAAAAUAUAGACAAAAAGUUGCAGAUAAAAAUUUGCCAAUAUUGAAAAAAGCUAAAGGUGAGGUAUGAUUAUAUCAGUGGAGCAUGUAAAAUCUUUAGCUGCUUUUGAGUGAAAUUUCUGAGAAGCUGUCGGGAUGAGGAAUAAUUUCUUCUUAGAACCAUGGGUGCAUUCUGUUUAUAGUUUAGAUUUUGCCAGAUUUUUGACUCAGCACUGAGUGAAAUAUUCUCUAUAGCUUCUCUUUGCUCUUUUAUUCAUUCACUUAUGUCAGAAACAGCAUAGAGGACUUGUGAGGCACAGAGAAGUUUUAUGUGUUGUAAUCCGUGAUGAAUCCUUUAUGGAAUCCUUUAUUACAGUUUUCAUGGGUUGUCUUAGAAGGUCUCAGAUAUAGUUGUGGCAGGAUUUAUUAAUUGUGCUCAUGGAGUUUGGACCCAGAUAUUAACCCCACCUCUGAAAUUUACUAGUUGUUUGAUUUUAUGCUAGCUACUUAGAUUAGCUGUGUUUCAUUUUCCUUACUUACAAAGUAGUGUGUGUUGUAUACGGUGGUGAGGGCCAACAGUUAUCAGUAUAAAUAAUACAGAGAAGCAGAAUAGCGAUCUCUUUGUAAGAUCCGAUUCACUUGUCCAGAAUAAAUAUUCAGAAGUGGAAAUGUUGUAUCAUCGGAUAAUUACAUUGUUAAUUUGAGAACCCUUCAUACUGUUUUUUUUUUUAGUGGUUACACCAUUUCAUACCUCUGCUAACAAUGUGCAGAAACCUCAACUUGUCUAUAGCCUUACCUAGACUUGGCUUUUGUUUUGUUAAUAGCCGAUUAGGGAGAGUUGAUACCUCACUGCAGUAGGUAUGGAAUUAUCUUGAUGAGGACUGGUGACAUUGAGUAUUUUUUAAAUAAUUUCUUUUAUUUUUGAGAUUAAAUAUAAUUUUCUUCCUUUCCUUUACUCUGGCCAAGUCUCCCAUAUAUCCCAAUGCUCUUCUCAAGGCCAAAGCUUUCAUGACUUCCUCAACCACCAAGUAAAAGGUCAUACCUCUUAUUACUGUUGUAGUGGAGGUAAGUUCCAACAAGUCGAUUUUUGAAUAACACAUUCAUAACUUAAAUAUAUAUGGCUAUAAAGGCCGUGCCACCGCUGUUUAGGUUUCCUUUGUUGUUGCUGUUACUGCUCCAGUGCACAUUUAGGUAUUAAUCUUUUACCAGGAAGGUCCUCUUUUCACCCUCCGGAUUGUUCCCUUGCCUUAGAGAGAUUUUAUUUUAAUGUGCUGUUGGACUCAUUUGCUGUUUAGAGAUUUUAAUUUUGAUGUGGAAUUGAAUGUUUUUGUUUUCAUUUCUCUCUCUUUGUUUUUAGCAUCACACCUAUGGAGUCAUUGCUUACUUUUUUAUUUGUCUAGGAAUUUUAUAUUUUAAUGUUUAAAUCUUUAUGUUGAGUAAUUGUGUUGUACAGGGUAAAGUAAGGGGCUAAUUUCAUUUUCAUUGUGUUGUGUGGAUGUCCCUCUUUGUCAGGAUCGCAUAUGUAAGAAUCAGUGCGUUGCCCCUUGUAUAUUCUCAGUUUCCUUAUUAAAGAUUACUUGAAUAAUCUGUAUGUAUGUGUGUAUUUAUGACCACUCUGUCGUGUGGUAUUCACUGUUAUGUCAGUCUUUAUGCCAGUGUCUAACUUGAUUUCUUUUGUUGUAUAAUAUUAGAAUUCAGGAGAAUGAUGCUUUUAGGUUUACUCUUUCUGGAAUUAAUUUGGUUAUUCAUAAAAUAUCCUGGUUCAUAUCAGUCGUAAGUUUGUAGAAUUAAUUCUGAUGGUCACUUUUGCAAUUUAUAAUGUAAACAAUGUUUGACUCCCAGUCCAUGAACAAGCUGUAUCUUUCCAGUAGAUGUGCUUUGGUAACUUUUUCUAGUCAAUGUUUUUAUAGUUUCCAAUAUCCAGUCUUUUACUUUGGUUCAUCCCUAAGCAUUUUCUGAUGCUGUUCUUAGGCUUUUAAAAUGGGGAUAUUUUCCUUUUCAGAGUUUAUUAUCAGCACAUAGAAAUGCAACUUAUUUUUGCUCUUUGAUUUUUGUGUCCUGAAACUUUACUAAAUUUAUUCUGUCUUUCUGGAGUCCUUCAAGAUUUUCUUUAAAAGAAGAUCUUGAUGUCUACAAACAGACAGUUCUACUUUUUUUCUAAUUUCAAUGAUGCUUGUUUAUUUUAUUUAUUUUUGCUUUGGCUGUUGAAUAGAAGAGGUAAAAGUGAAAUCUUUGGAAAAACAUUCAUUUCUAACUAAUGGAAACUGAUCCUUGUACUUUUCACACAUGGAAUAUGUUCUUUCAAAAUACAUUCCUUUCCUCGCUUGUUUACCCAAAUUCCUGAAGUUAGGAACUUGCCUGAGAUAUCCCCACUCCUUAUGACCACUGAGGCACUGUUGACAGUUGCCACAGAAUGGGUGCAGCCUAACUAUCCGACCAAUGAAUAGUCAAGAAAAUGUGACAGAUACCUCCGUAUGGUAGAAUAUUACCCAGUAUUAAAAGAUUAGGAUAUUCUCUAAUAUGGGGUAACAUGGUUGAAAACUUAGAAUGUUCUAUACUAACCAAUCACAGAAGUACAAAACUAUAUGAUUCCACCUAUAUGAACUAUAUAGAAUAGUCAAAUUACUUGAAGUGACAGAGACAGUGGUGGUUUCCUAAGCGGGAGACAGGAGGAAAUGGGGACUUACUAGUAAAUAGGUAUAAAGUUUAAUUAGACAAAAUAAAAAAGGAACUAGAAAUUUACUCUAUAGCAUGGUGCCUAUGUAGUCAUUGCACCUAAAUAUAUCAUGCACUCAAAAAUUUGCUUAAAGUCUAGAAUCCAAAUUAAAUGCUCUUAGCAAAAUAGUAUAAAAUAAAAUAAUACAGUAAAUUCUCAAUUUUAUUAGUUAAGAGUAAUAUUUUAUUGGCUAAAUCAGAAUAAGUUAAU